AAUCCCCACCCUGCGGACCCCGCCCGCCUCGUCUUCUCCCUCUGGUUGGCGAGCGCCUUUCUGCGCCUUCAGGCAUUUUUGCUGAAGCUUUUGUCUGCGCUUGUGCGGGUGGCAUAAAAUGACACUCCAAGAAUCUUUCACCAAACAGGUAGUUGUUCAUUGUUUCAGCAACUAUCUUGGCAACAUCCUCAGACUCAAACUCCACAAAUGCAUAGCCUUUGCUAUUUCCAGUCAUUUUACUUCUGGACAGUCUGAACUGUGUCACAGUGACAAACUUGGAGAACUAUGAAAAGAUCUGUGUUUCGUUAAGUAGGUUAGGUAGGUGGCACAUGUAGACUACUCCAGAAGUAAGUUGUUCUUGUUUUUUUUGCUGGGUUAUGUGCUUGCAAACCUGCGCCAGCUCCUUUUGAAACUGGGCAUCUUACUGCAGG
rnacentral:lncRNA from 1 species